rnacentral:rRNA from 1 species
UUUGAGGGUUUGAUCCUGGCCCAGGACGAACGCUAGCGGCGUGCCUUAAGCAUGCAAGUGGGACGAGCCUCGUAAGAGGCGAGUCGCGAACGGCUGAGUAACACGUAGGAACCUACCCUUUGGUGUGGAAUACCUCGUCGAAAGACGAGCUAAUACCGCAUGACCUCGUACUUCGUACGAGAAAUCUAAAGCUCAAAAUCAAAAUGACAAAUUAUUUGACAUUUGAAAUUGGGAUUUUGGAUUUACUCGCACGGAGUGCGAGAAAAGGAUGUAACUAUCCACCGAAGGAGGGGCCUGCGGCCUAUCAGCUAGUUGGUGGGGUAAUGGCCUACCAAGGCUACGACGGGUAGGGGACGUGAGAGCGUGACCCCCCAGAAUGGGACUGAGACACGGCCCAUACACCUACGGGUGGCAGCAACUGGGAAUCGUGCGCAAUGGACGAAAGUCUGACGCCGCGACGCCGCGUGAAGGAUGAAGGCAUUCGUGUUGUAAACUUCUUUUGCCCCGAGGGAGACCGAGGGGAGAAUAAGCACCGGCUAACUCCGUGCCAGCAGCAGCGGUAAUACGGGGGGUGCAAGCGUUGUCCGGAUUUAUUGGGCGUAAAGAGUUCGUAGGCGGUUUGGUAAGUUGUCUUUUAAAUACCGGGGCUCAACCUCGGAAAGGGGGACAAUACUAUCAGACUUGAAGAAUACAGGGGCUACUGGAACUGUCGGUGUAGGAGUGAAAUCCGUUGAUAUCGACAGGAACACCUAGGGCGAAGGCAAGUAGCUGGGUAUUAUUUGACGCUGAGGGACGAAAGCCAGGGGAGCGAAAGGGAUUAGAGACCCCUGUAGUCCUGGCCGUAAACUAUGCUCGCUAGCGGUGUGUUCUUUAUUGAGUGCGCCGCGUAAGCUAACGCGUGAAGCGAGCCGCCUGGGGAGUACGAUCGCAAGAUUAAAACUCAAAGGAAUUGACGGGGACCCGCACAACCAGUGGAGCAUGUGGUUUAAUUCGAGACGAACCGAAGGACCUUACCUGGACUUGACAUCCCGAUGACAGUCCUAGAAAUAGGAUCUUUUUAAGCAAUUAAAACAUCGGGACAGGUGUUGCAUGGCUGUCGUCAGCUCGUGCCGUGGGGUGUUCCCUUCAGUGGGGUAACGAGCGCAACCCUCGCCGUAUGUUAAAUAUCCAUACGGGACCGCCCGAGUCAUUCUCGGGAGGAAGGCGGGGACGACGUCAAGUCAGCAUGGCCCUUAUGUCCAGGGCUACACACAUGCUACAAUGAAGCCGACAAUGGGUUGCCAAGUCGUAAGACGGAGCUAAUCCCAUCAAACGGCUUCUCAGUGGGGAUUGAGGGCUGAAACUCGCCCUCAUGAACGCGGAAUUGGUAGUAAUCGCGAAUCAGCUAAGUCGCGGUGAAUACGUUCUCGGGUCUUGUACACACCGCC